rnacentral:lncRNA from 1 species
UCUGCUGUGUCUGAACACCAUCUACCUGAGGCAGGGGCCCAAGUGUCCCUUCAUCAUCAAAGGCCAAAAUUGGAUUCAAAGGAAUUUCUGGGCUCUCACUGUUGGUGACAUCUAAUCUGGAUGGUUUAGAUCCAAUCUGAGCAGGAGCAGCUUUGACUGAGCCGGGUGGCAAGGAGGAUGUCGGUCUGGGUGUGCCAGGCAAAUGAGGAAGAGACUUGGACGGAAGCCUGGGCCAC